rnacentral:rRNA from 1 species
AGUGAACGCUGGCGGUAGGCCUAACACAUGCAAGUCGAACGGCAGCACAGGAGAGCUUGCUCUCUGGGUAGCGAGUGGCGGGCGGGUGAGGAAUACAUCGGAAUCUACUCUGUCGUGGGGGAUCACGUAGGGAAACUGACGCUAAUACCGCAUACGACCUACGGGUGAAAGCAGGGGACCUUCGGGCCUUGCGCGAUUGAAUGAGCCGAUGUCGGAUUAGCUAGUUGGCGGGGUAAAGGCCCACCAAGGCGACGAUCCGUAGCUGGUCUGAGAGGAUGAUCAGCCACACUGGAACUGAGACACGGUCCAGACUCCUACGGGAGGCAGCAGUGGGGAAUAUUGGACAAUGGGCGCAAGCCUGAUCCAGCCAUACCGCGUGGGUGAAGAAGGCCUUCGGGUUGUAAAGCCCUUUUGUUGGGAAAGAAAUCCAGCUGGCUAAUACCCGGUUGGGAUGACGGUACCCAAAGAAUAAGCACCGGCUAACUUCGUGCCAGCCGCCGCAGUAA